rnacentral:rRNA from 1 species
AUUAAACGCUGGCGGCAUGCCUUACACAUGCAAGUCGAACGGCAGCACGGGGGCAACCCUGGUGGCGAGUGGCGGACGGGUGAGUAAAGCAUCGGAACGUAUCCUGGAGUGGGGGAUAACGUAGCGAAAGUUACGCUAAUACCGCAUAUUCUGUGAGCAGGAAAGCAGGGGAGUCGCAAGACCUUGCGCUCUGGGAGCGGCCGAUGUCGGAUUAGCUAGUUGGUGGGGUAAAGGCCUACCAAGGCGACGAUCCGUAGCGGGUCUGAGAGGAUGAUCCGCCACACUGGGACUGAGACACGGCCCAGACUCCUACGGGAGGCAGCAGUGGGGAAUUUUGGACAAUGGGCGCAAGCCUGAUCCAGCCAUGCCGCGUGAGUGAAGAAGGCC